ensembl:lncRNA
UGGUUAAUGAAUGAUUUAUUACUCUUGACCAAUAGGUGGCGCUGUUACCAAAUUGAUGUGGCAUGGUCAGUCUGAGGUGACAAUGGCACAUACAAAGUUUGGUACAAAUAUGUCAAAGCUUUGCCGAGAUACAGCCUCAGAUGUAUUUUGGCAUCUUACGAACAAAUUCGUUGAUGCGCUAAACGAAAACCGUUUUGUAUAUCAACACAAAAUCCAUAACUUUUUGUCAGCUUGGUCUGAAGAUGAUCUGAACCAAAUUUGGUGAAAAUCGGACUAACGGUCUAGGAGGAGUUCGAAAAAGUAGGUUUUCAACUUUAAUCAAAAUGGCCGACAGGAAGUAUGGCCAAUUUUGGAAUAAUUGGUAUCGAUGUUCUCAGCAUCACCCAAAGAAUAUAUCGACAUGACUUUCAUUGCAAUAGUCUAAUUUUUUCAAAAGUUAUUAGCAUUUUUAAGAUAUUUCAUUAUAACUGUUGACCACAAGGUGGCGCUGCCACCAAACUUUUUGAGUAGCUUCAGGGCAUGGAGCCAAACAUUUUUGUAAUUAUUUUCGUAGCGAUACGAUAAUGCAUUCAAAAAAUACAGCAUUUUGAAACAUAAUUCAAAAUGGCCGACACCUAAAAUGGAUGACACGGGAAAAUUGGAUAUCAUUCGACUCGGCAUGACCCACCGAAUACAAAGAGACUAGUUUUGUGAUUUUUGGUCAAACCAUUCAGAAGUUAUAAGCAAAAAUAUGCAUUUUUCAUAUCUCCUGACCACUAGGUGGCACUACGUCGAAACACUGCAGGUAGUCUCAGGUCAUGCUUAUUAUAACACACACCAAGUUUGGUCUCAAUAUGCCAAACCGUUGCGGAGUUAUAGCCUCACAAGCAUUUUUGCGUGCUUUUCGUAGAAUUUGUUCGCGUGGUAUUCGAGAACGGUUGGACGAAUCAACUUGAAUUCCAUAACUUUUUGCCAGCAUGGUCUGAAGAUGAUCUGAGCCAAUUUUCGUGAAAAUCGGACUAACCGUCUAGGACGAGUUCGAAAAAGUAGGUUUUUCGAACAAUUGAAAAUAGCGAAAAAACUAAACCUUGCGAUUUUUGAAUUUCGGGGUUCAUUCGACUUGGCCUGAGCUAAGGAUUCAGAGGAAAAAAGAAUUUUCAUUUUGUGGCUUACGGUUCAAAAGUUAUUAGCAUAAAAAUAUUGAAAUUUUGGACAAGUGGUGGCGCUAGAGAGUAGGAGAUAGAGACUUCAAAUUUGCUAUAGUUAGUGCUGGGACUGUCCUCUAUCAGUG